AGAGUUUGAUCCUGGCUCAGGACGAACGCUGGCGGCGCGCUUAACACAUGCAAGUCGAGCGAAAACCUGGGCUUCGGCCCUGGGGACAGCGGCGAACGGGUGAGUAACACGUGGGUAAUCUGCCCUUGACAUCGGGAUAGCCCGGGGAAACCCGGAUUAAUACCGAAUAGCCUCCGGAGCCUUCGGGCGCCAGAGAAAAGGUAGCUUCGGCCUCUGGUCAAGGAUGAGCCCGCGGCGGAUUAGCUUGUUGGCGGGGUAACGGCCCACCAAGGCGACGAUCCGUAGCUGGUCUGAGAGGACGAUCAGCCACACUGGGACUGAGACACGGCCCAGACUCCUACGGGAGGCAGCAGUGGGGAAUCUUGCGCUAAUGCGGGAAACCGUGACGCAGCGACGCCGCGUGGGGGAAGAAGGCCUUCGGGUUGUAAACCUCUUUCAGGAGGGACGAAGCUACUCGGGUUAAUAGCCCAGAGGGUGACGGUACCUUCAGAAGAAGCCCGGCUACUACGUGCCAGCAGCCGCGGUA
rnacentral:rRNA from 1 species